rnacentral:rRNA from 1 species
AGCGAACGCUGGCGGCAGGCCUAACACAUGCAAGUCGAACGGACCCUUCGGGGUUAGUGGCGGACGGGUGAGUAACACGUGGGAACGUGCCUUUAGGUUCGGAAUAGCUCCUGGAAACGGGUGUAAUGCCGAAUGUGCCCUUCGGGGGAAAGAUUUAUCGCCUUUAGAGCGGCCCGCGUCUGAUUAGCUAGUUGGUGAGGUAAAGGCUCACCAAGGCGACGAUCAGUAGCUGGUCUGAGAGGAUGACCAGCCACAUUGGGACUGAGACACGGCCCAAACUCCUACGGGAGGCAGCAGUGGGGAAUCUUGCGCAAUGGGCGAAAGCCUGACGCAGCCAUGCCGCGUGAAUGAUGAAGGUCUUAGGAUUGUAAAAUUCUUUCACCGGGGACGAUAAUGACGGUACCCGGAGAAGAAGCCCCGGCUAACUUCGUGCCAGCCGCCGCAGUAAGAC